rnacentral:rRNA from 1 species
GACGAACGCUGGCGGCGUGCCUAAUACAUGCAAGUAGGACGCAGUUGCGAACGGUUGAGUAACUCGUAGGUAACUACCUGUUAGAGGGGGAUAACUAUUGGACACUAUAGCUUAUACCGCAUAAUAGUAGAUGGAACUUCGUUGUAUUAGCUAGUAGGUAGGGUAAUGGCCUACCGAGGCAACGAUACAUAGCCGACCUGAGAGGGUGAUCGGCAAAAAUGGGACUGAGAAACGGCCCAGACUCCUACGGGAGGCAGCAGUAGGGAAGCUUCGGCAAUGGGGGGAACCAUGACCGAGCAACGCCGCGGUAGUGAAGAAGGUUUUCGGAGCGUAAAGCUCUGUUGUUAAGGAAGCGGUACUUAACCAGAAAGGGACGGCUAACGACGUGCCAGCAGCCGCGGUAAUUC